AACGAACGCUGGCGGCAGGCUUCAUACAUGCAAGUCGCACGAGAAAGUUCCUUCGGGAGCAAGUACAGUGGCGGACGGGUGGGUAACAGGUGGAUAAUCUGCCUCUUUGCGGGGGACAACAGUUGGAAACGACUGCUAAUACCGCGUAAUUCUGGCGGCUGAUGGCUGCCAGGGAAAGGCGCUUUCAAGCGUCGCAGAGAGAUGGGUCCGCCCCCCAUUAGCUAGUUGGUGAGAUAAUAGCUCACCAAGGCUUCGAUGGGUAGCCGAACUGAGAGGUUGAUCGGCCACACUGGGACUGAGACACGGCCCAGACACCUACAGGUGGCAGCAGUGGGGAAUAUUGCACAAUGGGCGAAAGCCUGAUGCAGCCAUGCCGCGUGGAGGAUGAAGGCCUUCGGGUCGUAAACUCCUUUUCUGAGGGAAGAACAACCAGAGGAGGAAAUGCCUUUGGCCUGACGGUACCUUAGGAAUAAGCAACGGCUAACUCCGUGCCAGCAGCCGCGGUAAUACGGAGGUUGCAAGCGUUGUUCGGAAUUACUGGGCGUAAAGGGAGCGCAGGCGGCCAGGUCAGUCUAAAGUGGAAUCCCGGGGCUCAACCCCGGAAGUGCUUUGGAUACUGCCUGGCUAGAGUACGUGAGAGGUGAGCGGAAUUCCAGGUGUAGCGGUGAAAUGCGUAGAUAUCUGGAGGAACACCGGUGGCGAAAGCGGCUCACUAGCACGAAACUGACGCUGAGGCUCGAAAGCGUGGGGAGCGAACGGGAUUAGAUACCCCGGUAGUCCACGCCGUAAACGUUGUGCACUAGGUGUAGGAGGUGUCGACCCCUUCUGUGCCGCAGCUAACGCAUUAAGUGCACCGCCUGGGGAGUACGCGCGCAAGCGUGAAACUCAAAGGAAUUGACGGGGGCCCGCACAAGCGGUGGAGCAUGUGGUUUAAUUCGAGGCAACGCGAAGAACCUUACCCAGACUUGACAUCUCGGGACUCCUCUGGAAACAGGGGAGUGCCCUUCGGGGAAUCCGGUGACAGGUGUUGCAUGGCUGUCGUCAGCUCGUGUCGUGAGAUGUUGGGUUAAGUCCCGCAACGAGCGCAACCCUCGUCCUUAGUUACCAGCGGUUCGGCCGGGCACUCUAAGGAGACUGCCGGUGAUAAACCGGAGGAAGGUGGGGACGACGUCAAGUCAUCACGGCCCUUAUGUCUGGGGCUACACACGUGCUACAAUGGCCGGUACAGAGGGCUGCAAUACCGCGAGGUCAAGGCAAUCCCAUAAAGCCGGUCUCAGUUCGGAUUGGAGUCUGCAACUCGACUCCAUGAAGUUGGAAUCGCUAGUAAUCGCGUAUCAGCUACGACGCGGUGAAUACGUUCCCGGGCCUUGUACACCCGCCCGUCACAUGACCCGAGUCGGGUGCACCCCAAGUCGCUGGCCCAACCUGCAAGGGAGGGAGGCGCAUAAGGUGUGUCCGGUAAGGGGGAUGAAGUCGU
rnacentral:rRNA from 1 species